GGAGAGGUGGCAGAGCGGUUGAAUGCGGCGGUCUCGAAAACCGUUAUACGUCUAUUCGGGCGUAUCGAGGGUUCGAAUCCCUCCCUCUCCG
rnacentral:tRNA from 1 species